AAAACUGUGAGCCAAAAUAGACCAUUUCUCUUUUAAAUUCUCCUGUGAAUGUCAGUAUUUUGUUCCACUAAUGGAAUGCUGACUAAUACAGCAAGGGUUCACAAAUCCUACGUGGGCUAAUUUGAAUAUCCCUGCAUCUGAAGAUGGCCAAAAAAAGCACGACACACACGAGUUCCAGGUCCCUGAAGAAAGGACACAGGACUCAAGCUUUCAUCUUGAACCUGCCCUGGGCCACCACUCUGACAACAACCCACCACUGCACACAAAUCAUUUUAAGUUGACCUGUGUCCCUUCCAGAAACAAUCCAUGUGCUCCCAUCAUUUCUCUUGACACAGUAUGUUCCCUGAGGCAUUAUGAUCUACCUCUAAGGGGUCCUCGUACUCGUGAGCAGUCUCAGCUUGACAUGGGCUUUCUCUUUCUCUCUAGUCGAUAUGCCCUUCACUAAAUCCUGUAUUUUCUCUUUUCUCUACUUCUGCUCAACCAACUGACUGCAGGCUAAGUGCUAAACUCAGAUUCUCAAUGUUUCAAGGGGUGACAGGGAACCAUAUAACAUGCUCUUGACUCCCCAGCCCUACCUCCUAGUAAUGCCAUCUCCACAUUAUUUAACACUCACCACAGAUGUCUGGUCCCUUCCACAAGAAGAAAUCAGAGGCAGGACCCAGAGGGUAACCUGCUGCAGCAGAUGCUCACUCAGGAUCCAGCUACAGAUGGGCCAGUGCUCCAGUCCCUCUCCCCGCAGCAUCCAUCCAUGAGCCUAGAGGAGAGCCUGAGGAAUGGAACUAGACAAGCAACUUUGAUCCCAUGACCUACUACAAGGUCAUCAUUCCAAGGCUCAGAGUCCCAACUCAGGAUCCCUGGAUGGAGCAAAGACCUUUGGUGAUCUCUGCAAUAACUCACUUCCUGACCAGCACUUGGUGGUCAGCUGUUGUGUGUGGCCUUCACAAGGGCAGAAGGGUCAGUUGAGGGCUCUGCUAGGUGACCUUAGCCUGACUACAUUCCUUGCAGGUGAAGAAGGAUGUGUCCAGAACUCUGGUUAUGCCCUAAGAUCAGUACGCUCCUAUCACUAGACCAGCUAGCCCCAGGGCAUUGCUCUCAUCCCUGCCUUUGGCUCCAUCCUGGUGCCAUUAUGGCCUGUGACCUGGUUUCUCUACCAGUUCAGCCUCUGCCUUCCCACACUCCAGGUUCAUGGAGUUUGAGGAUGUAGCAAAAAAAAAAAAAAAAGGAAAAUAAGAUAUAGUUAAUGGGGGAGGCUAGUGAUUGGAUCACCUCUAGCUCCAACAAGGUCAGAUUCUCUAAGGCCCCAACCCCUGCAGUUGUCCAGCAAGGCUAGCCAUAUUCCCACAGAGGCCCAUGGUGGAGGCCAAAGAGGGCAAAGACAAGCCACUAUCCCAUGUUUGUUUGGUUUUCUCUCAGUUGGGGCAUUUGUUCUUGCAAACAGAAUAUCGCCUCAGAACCUGGAGUUCCUGUUGGCCUUGGGCACAAAGUGGGUAUUGAUCAUCCGUGCAAGGGCCAGACAGAGGGACUUUCCUGCUUUAAGGGGCCUACUGUGCACAUCCUGAUAUUAUAUACAUCCCUUCAAAGUCCCUUUCAGUCCUCUGUACCAUUAAACAGUGUGUUAGAGUGGAAACCACAGCCACAGUUUUAUUAAGGUCUUCUUUCUGCUUCCUGAAAAGGGCCAAGUGGUAAGGCUAGACCAAUUUUGAGCCACACCUGGCCUUCAUGAGUGGGUGGUUUGACCUGGCUUCUAUGGAAAGAAACCACUGCAUCUUGGAGAAACUUCAACUGACAACACCAGCAAGAUCCCCUGCUUCAAGCCCCUUUAUUAAUGAAAAUGCCUUGUCUAACAAUCACUGGGAAGGCCUAGCUCUUAGGGACACUGUACUGGAGCUGCACUUUUAUUCUAACUCAGAGUUGCAGGAAGUCUUCCAGUUCUGUGUGCAUGAGCAGGACUGACAGAGUCCCUGAUUUGUGGGACCUAUCAGGGUGGCUAAGCAGCUGAGACACUGCCUGACCCUUAACAUCGUAAAUGUUUUUGCUUCAGGUUAUUUAAAAAUCAUCUAUAAAAAAUUCAUAUAACACACAUUGCCAUUUAAACAUUUAAGUCUGAGGGUUUUAAAAAAUACAACUUGCAACUACGACUGCAGUAAAUAUAUUCAUAGAGUCUUAUCACCUCAAAGAGUCAUCACCUGCUAUUUAGUGACUACCUCAUGCAUCUUUGCUGCAACCACUAGUUACUCUGUCUCUGCAUAUUUUUCCAGAUUUGUGCCUAAUCUAGUCCUUUUCCCAUUCACUUUGUCAUCUAGAUGCAUUGGGCUUAUACAUUUGAUUUUAACAUGCAUUAUUAAAAUAUGCAUUCUC